GGGCAUGGUGGCACACCUCUAGUCCCAGCCACUUGGGAGGCUAAGGUGAGAGGAUUGCAUGAGCCCUGGAGUCCUGGGCUGUAGAAAGUUAUGCUGAUCAGGAGUCCAUACUAGGUUCAGCAUCAAUAUGGUGACCUUCUGGGAGCAGGGGACCACCAGGUUGCCUACGGAGGGGUGAACAGAUCUGCCCAGGACAGAAAUGGAACAGAUUAAAUAAGCCAUUUUGAUCGAUACACAGGUGAUUUCUGGUUACUUAGGCACUAGCUAGGAGGGCAGAAAAGCUGUCCA
rnacentral:SRP_RNA from 1 species